rnacentral:rRNA from 1 species
UUCCGGUUGAUCCUGCCGGACCUGACUGCUAUCGGAUUGGUACUAAGCCAUGCGAGUCAUUGUAGCAAUACAAGGCGGACGGCUCAGUAACACGUAGUCAACCUAACUCGUGGACGUGGAUAACCUCGGGAAACUGAGAAUAAACCACGAUAGAUCAUAGUGCCUGGAAUGGCUUAUGGUCCAAACAGUUUACUGCCAUGGGAUGGGACUGCGGCCUAUCAGCUUGUUGGUGAGGUAAUGGCCCACCAAGGCGAUUACAGGUACGGGCUCUGAGAGGAGAAGCCCGGAGAUGGGUACUGAGACACGGACCCAGGCCCUAUGGGGCGCAGCAGGCGAGAAACCUUAGCAAUGUGCGAAAGCACGACUGGGUCAGUCCGAGUGAUUCCUGAUAAAGGAGUCUUUUGCUUGUCCUAAAAGCACAGGUGAAUAAGGGGUGGGCAAGUCUGGUGUCAGCCGCCGCGGUAAUACCAGCACCUCGAGUGGUCAGGACGUUUAUUGGGCCUAAAGCAUCCGUAGCCGGCUCUGCAAGUCUUCGGUUAAAUCCACCUGCUCAACAGAUGGGCUGCUGGAGAUACUACAGAGCUAGGGAGUGGGAGAGGCAGACGGUAUUCAGUGGGUAGGGGUAAAAUCCUCUGAUCCAUUGAGGACCACCAGUGGCGAAGGCGGUCUGCCAGAACACGUUCGACGGUGAGGGAUGAAAGCUGGGGGAGCAAACCGGAUUAGAUACCCGGGUAGUCCCAGCUGUAAACGAUGCAAACUCGGUGAUGCAUUGGCUUAUGGCCAAUGCAGUGCCGCAGGGAAGCCGUUAAGUUUGCCGCCUGGGGAGUACGGUCGCAAGACUGAAACUUAAAGGAAUUGGCGGGGGAGCA